UACGGAGGGGGUUAGCGUUGUUCGGAAUUACUGGGCGUAAAGCGCGCGUAGGCGGAUUGGAAAGUUGGGGGUGAAAUCCCGGGGAUCAACCCCGGAACGGCCUCCAAAACUNCCAGUCUUGAGUUCGAGAGAGGUGAGUGGAGUUCCGAGUGUAGAGGUGAAAUUCGUAGAUAUUCGGAGGAACACCAGUGGCGAAGGCGGCUCACUGGCUCGAUACUGACGCUGAGGUGCGAAAGCGUGGGGAGCAAACAGG
rnacentral:rRNA from 1 species